rnacentral:lncRNA from 1 species
UUGAGGGAUUGAGAUAUUUGGGGACUUGGUGAUGGACCCCAUAGUAGAUGUGAAUUAUAUUUUAGAAUAUUUAAAUAUUGAAUGAUUUAGUUUGUGAUUUGUAAUUGAUGUUGUAGGGGAGGAGUCAGCGGUGCCAGGAGAUUUUGAUCAGGGGACUCAGCACCCCAGCACGUAGGUUGUGAUUCGGAUCCGUGUUUGAGUCAGUCUACAAAUUUCUGUAAGAAUCCCUACAUCUGAGCACUUUUAUUUAUACAUAUAUUGGAUUUAUCGUUGGAUAUAUUUUAUCAGUAUGUUGCUAUUUGUUUUUGAGCUUGUAUGACACUAUGAGGUGUGCAUUUUGUUUAUUAUGAAAGUAUUGGAAUAAUUAAAUUGGGAAGGAAUAACAUAUUUUUGAGAAAUUAUGAAAAUAUGUGACGUGAUUGAAAUGUGAUUAAACAUGUAAAACUAGACAUGUAAAAUGGGUUGGACUAACCUUGUCAUGAGAUAGCCUUUACGAGCUUAUGCGUAGGAUAGCUGCCACGAGCUUAUGCGUGGGAUAGCCUCUACGAGCUUAUGCGUAGGAUAGCCUCCACGGGCUUACGCGUGGGAUAGCUG